AUACAGAGGGUGCAAGCGUUAAUCGGAUUUACUGGGCGUAAAGCGCGCGUAGGUGGCUAAUUAAGUCAAAUGUGAAAUCCCCGAGCUUAACUUGGGAAUUGCAUUCGAUACUGGUUAGCUAGAGUAUGGGAGAGGAUGGUAGAAUUCCAGGUGUAGCGGUGAAAUGCGUAGAGAUCUGGAGGAAUACCGAUGGCGAAGGCAGCCAUCUGGCCUAAUACUGACACUGAGGUGCGAAAGCAUGGGGAGCAAACAGGAUUAGAUACCCUGGUGGUCCAUGCCGUAAACGAUGUCUACUAGCCGUUGGGGCCCUUGAGGCUUUAGUGGCGCAGCUAACGCGAUAAGUAGACCGCCUGGGGAGUACGGUCGCAAGACUAAAACUCAAAUGAAUUGACGGGG
rnacentral:rRNA from 1 species